UGCCUAAGCCUGAACAUCCUCCCCCCCCUUGACGCAAGUCAAUAAUCAAAACAAUAACAAAUAUAGAUAACGGAAGUUAAACGUAUGUGCCUUCGCGUUCAGAUGCAGCUUUAAUACCCAUGCCAACUUAUCGUCUUCGGUGUGCGCAUGCCGUGUGGUGUUGCGAAGGAGCAAACCGAUCUCCGGGAUAAUCUUUCUGCCAGGCAAGCCGUCGACAAAUGCUGAACCUAUGUGCCGACUAGGAUAUGCGCUAAGUUAUUGAACGAACGGCUACAACAACACCGUACUGUGUGAUUGUGAUCCAGCGAGUGCCGUUACAAUCCUCGCUCCCUUACACGACGACUGAAAGUGCGAAUUACCGCCGUAUUAGAUGAACGCCUGCAAUAGCUCCGUAGUGUGUGAGAAUUGUGAUCCAGCGAGAGCCGUUACAAUCCUCGCUCUCUCACAAGACGACUGAAAGUGUGUUCAAUACACACUGUGACGUGAUACUGUCGCCGUGAAAGUGCACCGUGUCGUACCAAAAUCGGACCUUUGGUGACCGGAGACGACCCUAUGAGAGAACUACUGAGAGUGGCCAACGGCGAGCAG